UACGUAGGGUGCGAGCGUUGUCCGGAAUUAUUGGGCGUAAAGAGCUUGUAGGCGGUCUGUUGCGUCCGCUGUGAAAACUCGGGGCUUAACCCCGAGCCUGCAGUGGAUACGGGCAGACUAGAGGUAGGUAGGGGAGAAUGGAAUUCCCGGUGUAGCGGUGAAAUGCGCAGAUAUCGGGAGGAACACCAGUGGCGAAGGCGGCGAUCUGGGAAGAUACUGACGCUGAGGUGCGAAAGCGUGGGGAGCAAACAGG
rnacentral:rRNA from 1 species